rnacentral:tRNA from 1 species
GGAGGGAUGGCUGAGCGGUUGAAAGCACUGGUCUUGAAAACCAGCGAAGGUUAAUAGCCUUCCCAGGGUUCGAAUCCCUGUCCCUCCG